AGUCCCACAGGGAAAAGCCUGCGGUACCACGCAGCUUAUAGCGAGUACUUGCAGGUAUCAGUUGCCUCCUCAACCCCUUCAAGAAAAGCAAGAGAUCCACUGACCCACCCUGAGCACUGCAGUGCACUGGAGGCUGAGACCAGCUGGGCCGCACAACCUUGGGUCAACCCUACUGGAACCUCUUCUACUUUCUACAGUGGUAGCCUCUGGGCCCUCCAGGUAAGGCAGGAGGCUACAAACUCCCCCAAGGCAGAAGUGAAAUCAGGGAGACACGGACCAGAAGGAAAACGGGUCAAAUGGCCCCUGCGCUGGAGCACUGCAGCUCUGCUUUUAAUAACUGGCCAGGUGUACACGAGACCCAAGAGAGACCUGGAAAUGGAAUCCCUUGCAGGGGCUCAAGACCUCUUGCUGUCGACAAAUUGAUUGAUACCAGUUGAAUGUAGCAGCUGCUCAAUGAGAAGAUUAGGAGCGUCUGCCGUCUGGAUCAUUGAAAGGAUUUGCGUCUGCUCCUCUCUGGCCUCAGUCUUUGACUGCUCCCUUCAUUCCCGAGUCCUUCAAAUAAAGCCUUUGAUUGCUGAAG
rnacentral:lncRNA from 1 species